GACUGGAUUGCUCUGCUGACCUCAAUCAAAAGGCAAUUACCCAGUGAGGGUGGAAGGUCUGCUCUUUACAUUUCCAUGAAGGCCUUGAACUAAACUAUGCCUGCCUCUAUUUUACUAAAAUUAAACUAUAAUUACAUUUAUUAAGGCAUGAAGGAAUGACUCUCCAAAAAGACAAAUCCUGGAAAACUACCAUCAGGGUAAAGCAACAACAUUCAAGAUCUGUCAUCUAUCCAGAGAAUGAGAUGAUGGAAUUUUCAAUGAAUUUAAUGAUAAAGAAAGUUAACAGUGCCGGAAGCUGAAUGAUUUAGAAGUCCUGCUUUUAAUAUAAAGAACAACUACAGAAGGGGGUAAAGUAUAGAUCUUCAGCAGAAACAGCACAAGAACUAUUCCAGAGUUUGUGUGUCACCAGCUCAUCAUAUCUUAAGUCUCUUUUGACAUGAC